AUGGUGCAAUCGGAUCAUGAUUUGGAUAAGUAAUUUAAGAGAUAAAUUAGUUUAAAGUAAUUUUGCACGUAAAUUGGACGCUAACGUCAGCGCCCGAUUUUACCCCUCCCGAUCGGGCGCCCAACCGGGAGUCAUCCCCGUUUGAUUUGGGUCCCUUACCCACAAAUCCUUUCUUUCUAUGUAGUUGGAACCCCCUUAGUGCAAUUACUACUAUAAAGCAGCCACCAGGUUAAGCCACGUCAUCACAAUUAUCUCAGCUAUUAGAUAUAAUCUAGAUGCUAAACGAUUAUCGAACCAGCCCCCUUCUCUCUGAAUCCUACAAAUUCUUAGUGGAUCCAAUCCCCUUCACAGCUAGCCUGCCGCAUCUACUUCUCCCAUUACGAUAAGCAAUUGUGCAGCAGAAACUGCCUCCAAUAAUUAUAGCAGCGAGACCAAACGUCAUGGUUAAUCAGAUUUAUUCUCUUCCAAAGCAUCUUUAAAAUCCUCCUGCAGCCACACAUACCAGCGCUCUCUUUUGCAGACCAACCGGCCCCCAUAUUUGAUCAUCAGAUAUUGCAUGGUAUAGAAAUACGAUAUGGGCAUAUGGGUGUGCUCCAAGAAGGAUGAGUCAAUGAUGAAUGUGCUAAUUCAAGGACAAAUUUGUAGCAGAUUAUAGAACAUCGAAGGAUGCUUAUAUACAAUGAUUGGAAUGAUAUGUUGUCAAUGGUCUACAGUUUUCUUUCCGGAAAAUCUAUGCACGCCAUCAAUUAGCUAUACUGCUUAGUUGUUCGUCUGUUUUGCAUGUGAAAUUUUCAUAGUUUCAAAUUGGAAUUCAUAAGUAUCCUAGCAGUUGCUUAUAUUUGUAGUGCUGUGUAUUUAUUCGUAAACUACAAUUGUUAUCAUCUUUUUCAGACUUUUCCCUUGCACAUUGUAGGCAUUGUUGCUAAGAGCUGACUGUUAAAUAAGAACAGUUCCUUCCCUUUUUUUUUCUUAACCAGUCAAUGAAUCGAAAGUUUACGGUA